GUGAGGAAUAUUGGGCAAUGGGCGAAAGCCUGACCCAGCCACGCCGCGUGAGUGAUGAAGGCCUUCGGGUUGUAAAGCUCUGUGGGGAGGGAAGAAAAAGCGGGAGAGUAACUGCUCUCGUGUUGACGGUACCUCCUUAGCAAGCACCGGCUAACUCUGUGCCAGCAGCCGCGGUAAUACAGAGGGUGCAAACGUUGCUCGGAAUUACUGGGCGUAAAGCGCGUGUAGGCUGACAUGCAAGUCGGGUGUGAAAUCCCAGGGCUGAACCUUGGAACUGCACUCGAAACUGCACGGCUGGAGUACUGGAGAGGGAAGCGGAAUUCCGGGUGUAGAGGUGAAAUUCGUAGAUAUCCGGAGGAACACCAGUGGCGAAGGCGGCUUCCUGGACAGUAACUGACGCUGAGACGCGAAAGCGUGGGGAGCAAACAGGAUUAGAAACCCGUGUAGUCC
rnacentral:rRNA from 1 species